GUUGGUUAUGGAGAUAUCUACCCAAAAACCCUGCUGGGGAAGAUUGUAGGUGGGCUUUGCUGCAUAGCAGGUGUGCUAGUCAUUGCCCUUCCCAUCCCCAUCAUUGUCAAUAAU
rfam:Takifugu rubripes chromosome, Chr_22